rnacentral:rRNA from 1 species
ACCCGCUGAAUUUAAGCAUAUCAAUAAGCGGAGGAAAAGAAACCAACCGGGAUUGCCUCAGUAACGGCGAGUGAAGCGGCAAGAGCUCAAAUUUGAAAGCUGGCUCCUUCGGAGUCCGCAUUGUAAUUUGCAGAGGAUGCUUUGGGUGCGGCCCCCGUCUAAGUGCCCUGGAACGGGCCGUCAGAGAGGGUGAGAAUCCCGUCUUGGGCGGGGUGUCCGUGCCCGUGUAAAGCUCCUUCGACGAGUCGAGUUGUUUGGGAAUGCAGCUCUAAAUGGGUGGUAAAUUUCAUCUAAAGCUAAAUACUGGCCGGAGACCGAUAGCGCACAAGUAGAGUGAUCGAAAGAUGAAAAGCACUUUGAAAAGAGAGUUAAACAGCACGUGAAAUUGUUGAAAGGGAAGCGCUUGCGACCAGACUCGCCCGCGGGGUUCAGCCGGCAUUCGUGCCGGUGUACUUCCCCGUGGGCGGGCCAGCGUCGGUUUGGGCGGCCGGUCAAAGGCCCCUGGAAUGUAGUACCCUCCGGGGUACCUUAUAGCCAGGGGUGCAAUGCGGCCAGCCUGGACCGAGGAACGCGCUUCGGCACGGACGCUGGCAUAAUGGUCGUAAACGACCCGUCUUGAAACACGGACCAAGG